UACGUAGGGUGCGAGCGUUAAUCGGAAUUACUGGGCGUAAAGCGUGCGCAGGCGGCUUUGCAAGACAGAUGUGAAAUCCCCGGGCUCAACCUGGGAACUGCAUUUGUGACUGCAUGGCUGGAGUGCGGCAGAGGGGAUGGAAUUCCGCGUGUAGCAGUGAAAUGCGUAGAUAUGCGGAGGAACACCGAUGGCGAAGGCAAUCCCCUGGGCCUGCACUGACGCUCAUGCACGAAAGCGUGGGGAGCAAACAGG
rnacentral:rRNA from 1 species